rnacentral:tRNA from 1 species
CAAGAGAUAGUUUAAUGAAAAUGCCAGUUUUGGGGAUUGGAGAUGGGGGGCUAUCCCCCUCUUUUGA